rnacentral:lncRNA from 1 species
CGUGAUGCCAUCAAUAGCAACCCUAGCUUUCUCACUCCAUAUGGUAGAAAAGAGGCAAAAGAAAAUCCCUCCCAAAUCCAAUCGACAACUACAUCACCGUUUCUUCUCUGAAGGUAAGUAUAAUUAUCAUGCCUUCAAUUUCUUCCUUUAGUGUAGAUUUCUCGAUUUUUUUUUUCGUUUCUCUUCUUUUGUAGUGCAAGCAUCCAGUUUCCCCAUUUUUUUUUUUAUUAAUCAUAAGUUUGUUGGAAAAGUUCAUGUAAUAUAAAUGAAAUUUAAAUCUACACCCUGAUUUUUUUGGCGUUUAUACAUUGUUCUUUAAUUUUCUAGAUUUUAGAAAAGUUUUGUAUUCGAAAUAAUACAUGUGAAAAAAUAAAAAAAAUCCAAAAAUAUUGUAGUUUUUCUUCUUCUGAUUCAACAGCCAGUCCAAAGCAACUAUUUUCAAUUUUUGAACUAAAUAAUUUAAAAUUGGUUCAAUUAACUGAAGUAAAAGGUACUUUGAAACACAAGGUUGAGCACAGAAGUAUUCACCUCAAAUCCAGCUUUGUCAUAUUGAAGCCUUUUAUCUGGAUUAGACAAAAUAUUAUAAGAGAAUGUGACCUCCUUGAAUAUAUCUGCACCUUUAGGAUCAUUUGCAUUCUUGUCCGGAUGGUACCUACACAUUGUAAAAUAAGCAUAUAUAACAACCAACAAUUUUGUCUGCCUCAUAAAACAGAGCUGUUGAUACAUAAGGGCAUAAACACACACACACA